rnacentral:tRNA from 1 species
AUACAGGUAGCUCAAAUUGGUAGAGCAUCGAACAUUUAAUUCGAUUGUUGUGGGUUCAAGUCCCACCCUAAAAA